AUGUACGUGUUGACUAUUAGUAGGUCGAUGGACAGGGAGGCUGUGUUCAAGGUUAGCUACUGGCUAACAUGACCGCUACCCAUGCAAAGUACCUCUUCUACUAUAUUUCGUUAAAAUAGUACUGUAUUUGAUUCUUUAAUCAAAGUACUGGUCAAUAAAA